rnacentral:rRNA from 1 species
GGGGUGCAGCAGGCGCGAAAACUUUGCAAUACACGAAAGUGUGACAGGGUCAUCCCGAGUGCCGUCCGCUGAGGAUGGCUUUUACCCAGUUUAGGAAGCUGGGAGAAUAAGGAGAGGGCAAGUCUGGUGUCAGCCGCCGCGGUAAUACCAGCUCUCCGAGUGGUGUGGAUGUUUAUUGGGCCUAAAGCAUCCGUAGCUGGCUGGGCAAGUCCCCUGUUAAAUCCACCGAUUUAAUCGUUGGUGUGCGGGGGAUACUGCUCAGCCAGGGGACGGGAGAGGCAGACGGUAUUUCCGGGGUAGGGGUGAAAUCCUAUAAUCCCGGGAGGACCACCAGUGGCGAAGGCUGUCGACUAGAACGCGCUCGACGGUGAGGGACGAAAGCUGGGGGAGCGAGCCGGAUUAGAUACCCGGGUAGUCCCAGCUGUAAACGAUGCGGGCUAGGUGUUGGGGUAGCUACGAGCUACUCCAGUGCCGCAGAGAAGUCGUUAAGCCCGCCGCCUGGGAAGUACGGCCGCAAGACUGAAACUUAAAGGAAUUGGCGGGGGAGCAC